ACCUGAAGCCCAUUUUAACCCACGCGGGGCCACCUCUCACCGCAACACUGCCCGGGUGGUGCAGCCCUGUGGCCAGGCUUCUGACGAGCCCCGGCGCCUAUGGCGACCACCCGAAGGACGAGGACGCGGACUGCAUCGUGCACAACGAUGAACUGAGCACCAGCUACGAAGCACCGGCGCACACGGCAGCGCAGGACGCAGGGCCCCCACGGCCCCCUGGCCAGGAGGACAUCCACGAAGGGGACCUCGGCCUGGGUGGGUUCAAGGUCCAGCUUGAACAUGCUCCAGCUCAACCCCAGCUGAAUUCAUUGGCAUGAAUGGUGUAACUCGAGUGCAAGACACACAAGGAAAGAAAAGACAAAAAAUCCUAUCAUGUAAAUAAGAGGCUAGAGAAAUGUACUAAGCACAUCAAUUGAAGAAAACAGUUGUACCAACACAACCUCUCUUCCCCACAGAAGACAUUUAACAGCCAUACACGUACAACAACAUUCAGUUUUUUCGGGACAAUUCUUAUGAAAGAUGUAGGGUACUGCCCUAUAAAUGCGUCAGCUGUAUUGCCUCAAAUGGUGCUCAACUGCAUCAUGGCCCUCCAUCACACAUGCAAACAGGUCUGAGCAGCUGAUGCCUUCAACCAGCCGGGAUGCAGAGGUACAUGGUGGAGGCGCUCGCACGGCUUCCCACACUGCUGCUCGAGUCCAUUCGCACAUCGGCCCCACGAGUUUCCAUAGACAGGAGCGAGUGGGUGGUAGCUCUCCUGCUUCCCAGGCACAAAGGUGGAUCAAAGAACCCACACGCAAAGCAACAACAGAAACAAUGCACACAAAAAGCACUCCAAGCAAAAACAAAAUAGGUAUCAAUGCUAGGAGUGAAAGGACUUGAAUUCAGGUUUCUUACUGCCUAAAGGUUUUUACAGCCCUAGGACUCCUUAGGAGCUCUCUCACACAACAUUCCCAACAUCAAGAUUUUCUACAGCCAUAACAUAGGA